rnacentral:rRNA from 1 species
UACGGGGGGGGCAAGCGUUGUUCGGAAUUACUGGGCGUAAAGGGUUCGUAGGUGGCCAACUAAGUCAGACGUGAAAUCCCUCAGCUUAACUGGGGAACUGCGUCUGAGACUGGAUGGCUUGAGUGCAGGAGAGGAACGCGGAAUUCCACGUGUAGCGGUGAAAUGCGUAGAGAUGUGGAGGAACACCAAUGGCGAAGGCAGCCUUCUGGGCCAACACUGACGCUCAUGCACGAAAGCGUGGGGAGCAAACAGG